rnacentral:rRNA from 1 species
CGCAAGCCUGACGGAGCAAGACCGCGUGAGGGAGGAAGGCUCUUGGGUUGUAAACCUCUUUUAUCAGGGAAGAAGACAGUGACGGUACCUGAUGAAUCAGCAUCGGCUAACUCCGUGCCAGCAGCCGCGGUAAUACGGAGGAUGCAAGCGUUAUCCGGAUUUAUUGGGCGUAAAGCGUCCGCAGGUGGUUGUUCAAGUCUGCUGUUAAAGCGCGAGGCUUAACCUCGUACAGGCAGUGGAAACUGAGCGACUCGAGUAUGGUAGGGGUAGCGGGAAUUCCCAGUGUAGCGGUGAAAUGCGUAGAUAUUGGGAAGAACACCAGCGGCGAAAGCGCGCUACUGGGCCAUUACUGACACUCAUGGACGAAAGCUAGGGGAGCG